rnacentral:misc_RNA from 1 species
GGCAAUACUAUCACAAUGCUCUGGGUUAAAAUUCCCAACUUCUCUUAUUUGUGAUGCUUUCUUUUCAAAGAACUUAGGAUCUGUUGAGAUUAGAGAAGAUAAACGAUGCAAAACAAAUGGUAACGACUUUUCAUCUAGUGAAAUGUCACUAUUUUUCAGUGUCUCCUCAUCUGGAACUGGGCACUGGCCUUCUGCUUCAAUAUUGUCUACAACCAUCUCAUGCUGUUCAUAUUCCAGACUCUCCGAACCUAGCACCUUGAGAAGGCAAGUAAUGGUAGUACUCAUAGGCAUUUCGUGCUUAUGAACUUUUGAGCAUUCCAAGGAUGAAAUCUGAUCUUUUUCAAAGAAUAAGGUAGCUAAAUCUUGAAUUUGUUCCUUGCUGACAUUGAAACGUUCAAGAAGAAAAUAAGA